UACGUAGGUGGCAAGCGUUGUCCGGAUUUACUGGGCGUAAAGCGUAUGCAGGCGGACCUUUAAGUAGGAAGUGAAAGGUGAGAGCUCAACUCUUACACUGCUCCCUAUACUGGAGGUCUUUGAGUACCGGGAGAGGACAAGGGAACAGGUCGUGUAGCGGUGAAAUGCGUUGAGAUGACUUGGAACACCAAUGGGCGAAAGCACUUGCUGGACGGAGACUGACGCUGAGAUACGAAAGCCCAAGGGAGCGAACAGG
rnacentral:rRNA from 1 species